rnacentral:rRNA from 1 species
GUAGGUGGCAAGCGUUGUCCGGAAUUAUUGGGCGUAAAGCGCGCGCAGGCGGUCCUUUAAGUCUGAUGUGAAAGCCCACGGCUCAACCGUGGAGGGUCAUUGGAAACUGGGGGACUUGAGUACAGAAGAGGAAAGCGGAAUUCCAAGUGUAGCGGUGAAAUGCGUAGAGAUUUGGGAGGAACACCAGUGGCGAAGGCGGCUUUCUGGUCUGUAACUGACGCUGAGGCGCGAAAGCGUGGGGAGCAAACAGGAUUAGAUACCCUGGUAGUCCACGCCGUAAACGAUGAGUGCUAAGUGUUAGGGGGUUUCCCGCCCCCUUAGUGCUGCAGCUAACGCAUUAAGCACUCCGCCUGGGGAGUACGGCCGCAAGGCUG